UUUCCGUAGGUGAACCUGCGGAAGGAUCAUUAAUGUGUUUGGGCCUCACGGCCCUUCAUUCCGACGCUGUGCGCCUUCGGGCUGCACGCUGAGGGAGCAUAUAUCCACCCCUGUGCACACACACGGUGGCGAGCUGGGUAACGGCUCGCCGCUGAUCUUUACACACGUCUAAAAGUCAUUGUAUGUUAAUUUGAGAUAAAAACACAACUUUCAGCAACGGAUCUCUUGGCUCUC
rnacentral:misc_RNA from 1 species